CAUACUGAGAUAUCGACAUUCUGAAUCUGAUUCGCCAAGAACAAUUUCAUUCAUGAUAAAAAUGUUCUCCCUUUGAAUUUCUCUCACGCACAGGUCAUAUAUUAGAUCAUGAACGUUACAUGAUCUAAUUUUUGUUCCAUCUAGAUUUUUCUUGCAGACAAGAACUAACAUCUAUCGACAAGCUCUUGCAAACACUUCUCAGCUUCUCCUUCCAAAUCAUUUUCCAACUUCAGGAACCCCUCAGCAAUCCAUGAUCUCACCAAUCUCUUCACUGGAAUCUCACUGUCUUCUGGAAAAAUUCUGAAAUGCAGAAGACAAGUCUUUAGAUCGCUAGUCAAGUGAUUGUAACUCAACCCAAGCACACGUGAACAUCGUUCAUCAGGAUCAUUUGUGACAAAUGACUUGACAUCUUUAGCAACAAUUUCCCAGUUUUCUAUUGCCCUUUUAGAUUUGAGAAGCCCAGCAACCACCGCUAUAGUUAGAGGUAACCCGUGACAUUUCUCUGCAAUUUGCUUCCCAAUAGUCUCGAACCCAGAUGGUAAUGCUUCAUUUGCAAAUGCUACGAUUUUAAAAAGGUUCCAACUCUCAUCCGGACCCAUUAAAUUCAUCUGCAAAGAGAAUCAUCUCUGUACCAGCAUCACGAGCUACUUCAGUAUUACGGGUCGUCAAUAAUAUUCCACUCCCCUUGUUUUCACUUGGAAAACAUAGUCUCACGACAUCCCAUGCUUCCCUUUUCCAGAUAUCAUCCAAUGCAAUUAAAUAUCUCUUACCCUUUAAACUCUUUUGUAGCAUGUUUGCAAGCUCUUCUUCAUUGUUCAUGUCAAAUGUGUCACUCUUAGUAGAACACAGAAGGCUCAAUAAGAUUUCCUUUACAUUGUACUGUUGCGAAAUAGUAGCCCAAGCACAAACAUCAAAAUUAGAACAAAUGCACGCAUCAUUAUAAACUUCAUUCGCUAAGAUUGUUUUACCUAUGCCUCCCAUCCUGAAUCGGGAUGACUUUGGGUUCACCAGAGUAGCUUCUAGUAAGAUGCUCUACCAACCGUUCCCUUUGAUCAUCACGUCCAACCAUAUUGUUCUUAACCUUCAGAAUAUCUUUCGAUGAUCUUGGAAACUCUUGAACCGUUGAUUCCUUUGAUGAUUGUUUGCCUUUAUCUUGAAUCUUUAUCGACUCUUUCCAAAUACGAUCAAUCUCCUCUACUACUUGUUGCAGGCUUUGACAAAACCUUCGGCGCGCCUUUUUUUUCUGGCUUUUAUUUUCUCCCAGUACAGUUCCUGUUAGUCUCAGUUGAAUUGUGUAUUCAACAGCAAUUGCAACUUCUUUUACCUCUACUUCAAAAUCUGUCAUUUCUCCAGAAACAUUGUUUUUCUCAAAGUUCUUGAGAAAUACUUCCAGGGAACUAACUUUUUCUUGAGGAGUGCAAAAUUCUUCUCUGUGAUCACAGGAUAGAGACCGCAUCGGCGAAUUGGAUGUCAAGAGCGAUUCUAUUGUUCUCAUAAGAGAAGCCACACUUGCAUGAGCCAUAUCUAAUGUAUUCUCAUUUUUGUCCCUUGUGACUAUGACCUAAAAGCUGCAGGGUUGCAAGAGCCAAGAGGUCAAUGGUUUACAAAUAACGAGAUGCACAGAUUUGCAGAAAAGGCACGCAUAGACUAAAUAAGAUCAGGUAAUGUAUUUGCCUUAAUCAUAGCUAUAAAAGGGUAACAGUGAGUUUAGUCCCAAAAUCAGUAGCUUUAGCUAAUUUAACUCCCAGUAUGCAAAAUAGAUUGUGGUUCAAAACUCCGCUUUGCUUACCUAGGUAGUGUUUUCAACGUUGCUGGAACUCUUUUAAGAAGUUUUCAUACCCGUGUCAGAUCCUUAAAAAAAUGCACAACUUUUGAAGGAUCCAACAUGUAAUCAACGUUAUUUUUGAGGAGUUCGAGCGACAUAACUAUAUAUAUAGUACAAAGAGCUAAGUUAUAUAUUUGAUAAACCACUACAAGUGUUGUUUUGCUCUGAAACUUUAACCAAAUGAGAGAGUAAUUAAGGGAAACUAACCUUUCAAUGGCAGAUCAUACAACUUCAAAUAUCUCUUUCAAAUAUCACUGAAAGAGAUAUUUGAGAAAAGGAUAGAAGAAAUGCAAUAUUAUAAGUAACAAUAAACAAAUGUGUAAAGAACAACAGAUAGAGUACUGAGUACCUAACCAAGAUAAAAUUUGAGUGGCUGAAAUGAUCUGCAGAAUUUAUCAGCCCAAACAGUCCCUUAACUUUACAUAGUAUGUUCACUUAGGUCCCUGUAAUAAAAUGUUGAACAUAAAUCGUCCUUUAUCUCUGCUAAAAGGGUGCACUUUGAAAAAAAUGUAGUGCUUUAUACACGUAGUGGGAUCUGGAGAAAGUAGAGUAUACGCAACCUUACUGCUAUCUUAGAGAUAAAGAAGAUGUUUCUAAUAGACCCUUGGCAAAAGAUAAACAGUCGAGAAAUAGAUGCCCCUUUAAUUACAAUAUAGAGAAAUUACAUCUCCUUGAAAGCUAGAGAAUAACGCUAAAACAUAGUAUUAUAACGAUACAAUUUAAAGUUUAAACAGUAAGAACUAUGAUGAAAUCCUUGAACUUCAAUCUUUCUAGCUAUAUUCCGAAAUGAACUUUCAAUAAUUGUUUUUAAUACUAAAACAUACAUUUUGUUAAGGUCAGUGAACCGAGAGGUGUCGACUUAAUUAGUGAGUUAUUCAGUUAAGAGCUAUGUCCUGCUUUCUUUAUUAGUUGUCAUAUUUUUUUCCCUAGCGUUUUCCCCCAUUUUAUAACUAAUCUGAUUGGCAUAAUACAUAAACAUUGCCCUUUUAACUUGACACCAAAUCACAUCUAUAACCUCCAACUUUGGGUACGUACAAAUCAAAACUUAAACUUGUAUAAAGUUGAACAAAUUGACACACACAUCCUAUGUGGAAUAAUACAUGUAGGACGCUGUAUAGGACAAAAAUUGGCCACGUAAGACACCACAUAAGACAUAUGUAGAACAAAAAUUAGCCACAUAAGACCUCCCCAAUUUGUUGUACCAAACACAACUUUUGUGUUAUAUUAGCUGUCAGCCACUAAUAUUUUGUGGACUAGUAAGUCAAUAAAGAAAUAAUAAGAUAAGAGAGGAGGAUCAAAAUAUUGAGGGAAUCACACGAGUGUCACAUGUAAUGGACAGCUGUCAGUUAGCUAUCAUUGAUUACUGGUUUUGUAAGUUAGAAUAGUGGGAGCUUGCUUUAUAUAUACACACACUAAACUGUAUAUUUGUAGUAGCGGUUAUUGAUGAAAUUAAAAAAACUUUCCCAUCUCUCUCUCUUCUGUUACUUUGGCAGAGUUCAUGGUGAAAGCUUAACAUGGUAUCAAAGCCAAGCGAUUAAGCUCUGCAUUUCUUUUUUCUUUCAUUUUUUAGAAGCAAUUGUAGGAUUUCUCUAGGACAAUUGUAGAUCAACAAUGGUGGAAAUCUGUUAGAGUACGCAUCCUAGUAAUUGCCUAUCUGUGGAACAAGUAAGUAAACGUGGUUCACAGAAGUAAACUGAACACAGUCUUUAAGCGUGGAAAACACCCGGCUCAAGAAAGUUGAAAAAAACCACGACUUGUACUUCUAUAGGAUUUAACCCAACUUCACUAAAAUACUUGACCCUCAACAAUCAACAAAAUUACAAGACUUCUUGUAACCUAGGGAUUUAAACUUCUAACUCCUAUCACUACAAAAACACUAAUCUUCCCAAGAUAAGUUUUCCCAAAUCUUCGAGUUCUCAAACUUGAAGACAACAACUCCUAACUCAGUUUAUAGAUUACUGAGACUAGAAUCAAUGACUCAUUACAAUACAAGAACCUAACUACUACACUGUUUAUGACCUGUUAAGUAAGAGACUAGGUUCUUCUUCAAGUAUGUGAACUGACAUGCUGAUUGUUCAUUAACUUUUCAGCGUGUGCGUGAGUGCUGGAUUUGAGUCACGUUUGUUGUAUUUAAGCCAACCUAUUAUAGAAUCCUUUUUUAUGUUCAAUUCUUUCUUCCAGUAGAACUCUAUCAGUUAGCACUUUUCCGUUUUGCUGCCGCCUCACCUCUCCUAGAUUUGAUAGAACUCUUUUACUUCAAAUCCUCUUCUUACUUAACUCCUUAUCAACUUAACUUCUUCAAGACUUCUGGUCUGAUCUGACUCAGCUUCUGAUGUAAUCAAUGUUAUCUAUGCUUGUCUUGAACGCAGAAUCACAUCAUCCAGACUCCUGUGCUAGCUAGACUAUUUCAUCUUGACUGGACCAUCUUCUUCAACACGUUUCAUUCACAUGUCUAUCAUCAAAACUCCUCGUGCCUUAACAAAAUCAAAAUUGACAACACUCAUCCACUGUUCGUGAAUCCAUCCGAUACUCCAGGUUCCGUUAUGGUUCCCUUUCAACUCACAGGAGCUGAGAACUAUGGAUUAUGGAGGAGAUCGAUGUUUAUAUCACUUCAGGAAAAGAGGAAGUUAGGGUUUCUGUCGGGUACAUGUACAAGGGAUUCAUUUGAGAAGGGAUUGUAGGAGCAUUGGGAUACGUGCAACACAAUAGACCUCUCAUGGAUCAUGAACACUGUAUCACCAAGCUUAAUGAGUUGAAUCAUGUAUGUGUCGAAUGCUCACCUGGCUUGGGAGGAUCUGAGAGAACGAUUUGACAAGGUCAAUUGCUUGAGAAUUUUUCAACUACACAGGGAAAUUACAACAACUACUCAAGGUUUGGAUACUGUUUCUGUUUAUUUUACCAAGUUAAAGGAGUUGUGGUCAGAAUUUAAUGCAAUGGCUCCUUUGCCCAAUUGCGGUUGUCCUAAGUCCAAAAAUUAUGUCAAACAUCUUCAGCAACAACGCUUGCUUCAGUUCCUUAGUGCUUUGAAUGAAUCUCACACCCAAUCGAGGAGGCAAAUUCUUAUGCAAUCGACCGAACCCACACUGAAUCAGGCUUAUGCUCUAAUCAUGGAAGAUAAAAGUCAAAGAUCUUUGUACAAUGCAGGAGCACCUUUUGGAGAUGCAAAUGAUAUUUCAGCAAUGUGGAGUGUUGCAGGUCCCCGCCCUCCUCUUUCUUACCAACCAAAUUCCAAGCCUAAAUGCAAUUGGGAUGAGCAAUGCAAUUUUUGCAAAAUGAAAGGACAUAGAGCUGAGAAAUGUUAUCAACUUAUUGGAUAUCCAGGUGACUUUAAAAGAAAAAGGAAGCCUGUGGUGAAUAAUGUGGUUUAUGGUUCUCAACAGCCCCAAUUUUUGGGAUACCAACCUCCUUCAUAUAGGGGAAGUCAACAAUAUACUCAAUCUUCUUAUGGAGAUUUUUCCCCACAACAACCAUAUGGAAAGAUUUUGACAAUUCUCUUGCCGGGCAAAGUUCUACAGUUGUGACAGCAGGACAUGGUUUAGGUGGACAUCUUCCUAUACCUAGAGUCAGUAAUACUAGUGGUGGUGGUAAUUUUUCUCUUGGCCAGCAUUCGGAGGGUGCUGUAGAGUUUUCUGGAACUGGCCAUGCAGCAGGGCUUCCACCAGCAGUGAUCAUAGUGACUUUUACACCGGAACAGUAUACACAGGUGCAAAAGCUCUUUCAAAGCAACACAUCUGGGCCAUCAACAAUAUUGCAGGUAUUAUUUCUGCUUUUGUGGCUAGUAGAUAUACUGAUGAUUUGAUCAUGGACACAGGCGCAACCAACCACAUGAUGUGUAAUCCUCGAGUGUUAACCACCAUUACUAAGAAGAACACAACAUGGGCUGAUAGUAUUCAUUUACCAAAUGGUAGUACUAUACCAAUUUUGCAUGUUGGUAACUUUAGUUUGGGACAAGAAGAGAUUUCCAAUGUCCUGUGUGUUCCCGACUUUAAAGUGAAUUUACUUUCGGUGUCAGCAUUGACUAGAGAGUUAGGAUGCUUCAUGAAGUUCUAUCCUGAUUAUUGCUUAUUGCGGGACCUUCACACUGGGAUGGUGAAGGGGACUGGUAUAGUGGUGAAUGGAUUAUACUAGUGGGAUCAUGAUCCAUGGCAACAAAUGAAGUACUCAGUAGCUCUUAGCACAGUUGAUAUGAAUGAUCUUUGGCAUCAAAGGCUAGGUCACAUACCUCAUAAAGUGCUACAACAGAUGCAUGUAAUAAAUCACAAUAGUAUGAGUAAUACCAAACUAUGUCCGUUUUCUCCAUUAGCUAAACAAACCCGACUUCCAUUUCCUCAAAGCACCACCAGAGCAAGUAAGGUGUUUGAUCUGGUUCAUGGAGAUGUAUAGGGGCAUUAUAAGGUACCUAUCCAUAAUGGAAAUAGAUUUUUUCUUACACUCGUAUAUGAUUGUAGUAGGUUUUUCUGGACCUUCUUGCUGAAAUUUAAGAGUGAUGUUCCGGUUAUCUUACAGAAUUUUAUGCAAUUAGUUCAUACUCAAUUUGAUAGUACUGUUAAGGUGUUUCAAAGUGACAAUGGGUCAGAAUUUUUCAAUUCUUUUUGCAAAGAUUUAUUUACAACAUCAGGUAUUAUCCAUCAGAGUUCUUGUGCUUACAUACCCCAACAAAAUGUGUUGGUGGAAAGGAAGCACCGACAACUCUUGGAAGUGGCCAGGGCCAUCAGGUUCCAAGCAGAUAUUCCCUUGAAGUUCUGGGGUUUGUGUGUCCAAAAUGCUGCAUAUUUGAUUAACAGGAUCCCAUCUACAGCUUUACUGGGCAAAUCUCCAUUUGAAGUUUUUCAUGGGAGAAAGCCUAAUCUACAGCAUCUCAAGGUGCUAGGGAGUUUGUGUUAUUUUACGAAUGUGGUGCACAAGAAUGAUAAGUUUGGUGCUCGAGCUGUGGAGGCUUUUCACAUAGGAUAUUCCACCACACAAAAGGGUUAUAAACGGUAUGAUAUUGCUAAUGAAACUUUCUUUGUCAGCUGAGAUGUCACUUUCAGGGAAGAAGUGUUUCCUUUCAAGUACAACCAUCCGGAUUCAAGACCUCAAUCAUUCCAACCUAUAGAUGUGACUGUUGAUCCUUUUAUUGUGACAACUUAGGUUUCAGCAUCUUUGGAUGCCCCCUCACCUGUUUCUGCAACAGCCUCACCUUAUUUGAGGACUCUACAAUCCCAGAUGUUGGCAUGACUCCUACUCUAGUAGAUACAUGUGAUAUUUGUGUUCCUAAAGCUAUAACAGGGGGAGUUGAUUCUCCUCAGCAGGUUUCCAAAUUUAGACAGUCUGCCAGGCAAUCUAAGCCUCCAGCGUGGUUACAUAACUUUGUCCAUAGCUCUUCCAAAGUUGUUUCUUCCAGUUUUGCUUACCCGAUAUCCAACUAUAUGUCUUAUGCUGCUUUAUCAGACUUUAUGCAAUUUUUCUGCUGUCAAGGAACCUGAUUCUUAUGAAGAAGCUUUACAUCAUCCUGAAUGGGUAGAGGCCAUGAAUCAGGAGCUACAAGCACUUAGUGGCAAUCAAACUUGGGAUUUAGUCCCACUCCCACCUGACAAGAGGGCUAUUGGUUGCAAGUGGGUAUUUAAAACCAAGUUUAAUGCUCAAGGCUUGGUUGAUAGAUACAAGGCAAGGUUGGUGAAGGGUUACACCCAAUAGGAGGGACUUGACUACCAGGAGACCUUUUCUCCUGUAGUCAAGAUGGUAACCGUAAGGGCUGUUCUAUCUAUUGCAGCUAUGAGAACCUGGAAGUUGCACCAAAUGGAUGCCUUCAAUGCUUUCCUCCAAGGGGACUUAGUCGAAGAUGUUUACAUGUCUCCACCCCCUGGUAUUUUCACCAAGGGGGAGCAUUCCUUAGUCUGUAAACUCAAAAAAGCUCUUUAUGGCUUGAAGCAAGCCUCAAGACAAUGGAAUUUAAAGAUUUGUGAGGCUCUUAUCUCUUCCAGUUUUGUUCAAAGUCAUCAUGACUAUUCUCUGUUUGUUAAGAAGUCUGGUAAUGAUUUGGUUCUAAUUUUGGUUUAUGUUGAUGACCUCCUUAUUACUGGUUCUUCUUCUUCUCUUAUUGAAGAAGCUAAGUGUAUGCUUCAACUCCAUUUCAAUAUCAAGGUCUUGGGGGAGAUGAAGUACUUCCUUGGUCUUGCAAUUGCUAGAAGCAAGCAAGGGAUCUUGGUUUGUCAGAUGAAAUUUGAACUAGACAUGAUUGCUGAUGUGGGACUUGCUGGUUCAAAACCUUCCGGUCACCUUUGGAAUAGAAUCGGAGGUUAACUAGUAUAGAAUUUGAUCAUGGUAGUAAGAUUACUUCUCGGGAUGAAUUACUUACAGAUCCCAGAAGUUAUCAGAAGCUAGUUGGGAAGUUAUUAUAUUUGACAAUGACCAGACCUGAUAUCAGCUUUGCUGUUCAAAAUUUAAGUCAAUUCAUGCAUAAUCCAAAGAAGUCACACAUGGAAGCAGCCUUAAGGGUGGUCAGGUACUUCCAUGGUGAAUGCUUAACACAAAACAAAUAGCAUUGGGAACAAGUAGAGUUAAGUGUCAUGUAGAUUCCUUCUAGAAUAAGUUUUAAUUCUAUUCAUGGAGAUUCCGUAACUAUUCUAAACUUGGAAAGUUCAAACACAAUUUGGAUUAUUUUUGAAAAUUAGAAGAAGUUAAUAUUUCAUUAUGUAGCUUGUACCAAACAACAUUGGCAUAAAAGCAGUGCAGACUGAAGUUGCCUAAUUUCUUAGUUUUUAUCUCACCCUUUUUGCAACUUUGUCUAUCAGAAUCUUCCCUCACCAUACCCCACUUUGUAAGAUUACAUUAGUUAUUUUGUUGUUUUGUUCUUUUUGCAACAUUGCGAAUCGUGUUAUUUUAACACAAUUGUCCUCCUACAACUUGCAGUUUUCAAGUCUUAAUUGCAUUUGGAAGCAGCAGAAUAGAUAUGGCCUCUCUUAUAAGAACAAUGGAACUGCUAUUGACAUCCGAUUCGCCAAUGCUGUCAGUAACUUAUGCUGUUGAUGUGUUUGUCUUUGAAGCAUUACGGUCUCAACACCAUAGCCAGUGUAAUCUCACAAGCUGCGCAUUGAGGUCUUUGCAAAAGGAUUUACUAUAAUGUAUGAACAGACUAAAAUUUAUAUUGGAAGGAAGUGAUUCUUGCACAAAGAAUGGUAUUGUAGUCAUACAACUCAUAAGUAAUGUUAAGGAGUUUAUGAAACAAUAUUGUUACAUGUACAUUUAUUUUCAAGAUUCAAUGUUAUAAAACUUUUAUAAGUAUCGACAAUUCCGGUGCACUAGAGCUUCCCUGUUACACCUCACAUUUUUAGUUUAGUUUAAGUCCUAGUUGUAAGUUGAGGUGUUAUGGCUUCAUAAUUGAGCUUGUCGUUAUUCAAAGUUAGUUAAAAACAAAAUUGGAUUGAUUUGUAUAAGAUUAGGAGGUUAUACAGGCGUAAAACAGUACCUUACUUCUGCAACAUAGCAAGAGAAUUAAGAGGUCAGCAAGCAAAGAGCCACUGCUCAUUUAUUUACCAAGUCCCUUUAAGGGAAAUUUUGUCUUUUCCUUUUAAUUUAUUCCAAUUGAUUAAAUCCUCAUUCUUCAGGUUCCAAGCGUUACUUUUUUUUAAUAGCCGAGGCGUUAUUCUGAAAAAUCCCCUCUGUUUCCAUCAGUUUUGUGCGUUAAACAAGUCCUCCUCUUAUCCUCAAGUUCACACCUCAAGUUUACACGAUAAAAAGCUUCACUUUCCAAACAGUUUACAUAGGUUUUCCAUCAGCAAAUAUCCAUAUUCCUCCUAUCAAUUUCAACUCCAAGAAACACAAGGGAAUUGAUCGAGAAUCAAGUACAAAUUUCUUCGUCCGAUGUCAAGUUCUUUCAACAUUUAAGAGGUAUGUAGGACCAUUCCUUACUCUCGUUUCUGGAUGUUUUACUGUUAACCAAUUCAAAUUGCUCUAAAACUAUUUAGGUAUUAAAGGAAUUUCUACAAUCUUAUCAAUGAAAUUAAAUGGUUUAAUAGUUGUUGGAUGUGUAAAGAUAACUCUUUGUAUCAUGUUCUUCCUUUCUGAAUAAUGUGAGUUCCAACGACCCUCGUGAUUUGAUGUUCGAAUCAUAGAUGUUUUUGGCAAUAACUGUGAAAGAUUUACAAUCUACAAAGUCAAGAGAUUACACCUAGAGAGCACCCCAUUAUUUAAAAGAAGUGGGAGAAAACUAAUUACAUAAUCUGUUGAUCAAAGAUGACCUCUCCCAGUUAUUUUUUAAUUUCCAAGCAUAUCUACUCUUUCUUUGAAGUGUCGCAGCCUUGUAGCUGCAAUAUGAUUCUUUACUUUCUUUCCCAAUUNNNNNNNNNNNNNNNNNNNNNNNNNNNNNNNCUGCUGAAACGUUCAGACAACAAAAAGAUAACAAACUGUUACAUCGCUAAUUCAAAUAUAUCCUACUCCAUUAUUAAGUAAAUAAAUUACACAGUAUGUAAGAGCAGCAUCCUCUUCAAGGUAUUUCUCUUAAGCCGUUCAAGGAAGCCUGCCGUUUUGCCACUACUCUGUCUCUUUAAACACAAAUAACAAUUUCUAGGCAGACUCUGGAAAUGACCAGCCUGUAAAAUGAUCUUGUUCCUCACCAUAUGACGACAUACGUCACCAAUCUUCCAUGUCAAAAUCUCAGUCAAGCCAUUAAGCCACGUGGAAGCAUUACAUAUUGACACAUGUCAGUUUAGUUAAUUAGUUAGGAAAUAGUUGUUAAGUCAGUUGGUUUAAAAAUUUUGAAUUCAAACUUUCAGUUAAUUUUAUAUUCAUUUGUUGUUUUUAAAAUAUCAAAUUCAAAUUAUUAGUUAAUUUGUGAAUUUUAAUUUUUUGUCUUGAAUUUGGUAUAUUAGUUGGUUAUAAUUGCUACCCUUUACACUAUACAAGGAAUUAGUUAGGUUAGUUAUGACAUAUUACUUAUACUUUUUAAAAUAUUGUUAAUUUUAAAAACUGUCAUAACAGCUUUCUCAUAAGUAGCAUAUCCCGUAUUAAUUUAAAGUUCAAAUUCAAAUAUUGGAUAACAUGACAGCAUCUCAGCAGAUGCACAUUUCCCUCAAUAUUGGGUUACUUUUUUUUUUUUUAAAAAAAAAAAAACAUUUUUAACUUUCUUUUUUAUAAAAAAUAUUAUCACAAUAUAUCGUCAGCAGUUUAACAUAUGUGUUAGUACACAACUACUCUUCCAUCUUAUCCAUAACUUCCCCUAUUAUAUCUCAUCAUCCAAAACCUAUACUACUUCCAUAUAACUCCUUAUAUAGGGUAAAAUACUUCAAUUAUGCAAAUCUCUUUCAACAUUCUCCAAAUACUGACGUCCUUUAAAAAAAUUGUCAGAGUUCAUCAGCAAUAUCACAAUUCAAAAAAUGCGAUGGAAAACACUUAUCUUUGCAUUAACCAGACGUUUGAAUUUGACAAAGAUCGCCUUAAUCGUCGCAGUUAUUCUAUUAUUCAGGUACGUAUGUUUGAAUUUUCUCUUUGUGUAGAUUAUAUACUUUCUAAGUUAGAAAUUGUUGUCUGUAGGCAUGCGUUGUUGUACUUUAUAAUAUUGACUUUGAUGUUAUGAUUCAUCAAUGUUGUUGGUUAUUUUUUUUUAGUUAAAUUAUUUUUCUCAGAGAAUCAUUUGUACAUUGUGAAUGGUUGGAUGUGCCAUUGGAUUUCAAAGUCAUACUCUGUGUGUUUGAUUUCUCCCAAGUGGAACUACAAUCAUUCGAUGAAAUAAGUGGAAACAUUCUUUGAUUGAUUCUGUGUAUCAGGACGGUUCAAAGCUUUGAAUUUUGUGUUUUGGCAAUUCAUUUUUGGUGUUGCUUUUGGAGUUUGGAACUAAGAUCGAAAUUGGUUGAUUUUCAGAAGCAACAGGGCAAUGUAGUGGCUGUUGCUCUGUAUUAUCACUCGGGAAAUUCCAGCCCGACUGGUAAUGGGGAGGUUCUGUCAUGGUGCAAUGACUUCUGUCAGCCUAAUUUAAUCAUUUUCCCUCUAAGACACAUUUUUUCUCUGUUAACUCUUUUCAUCUCUUGACUAUCUCAUUAGAUUAUGAAGUUAAUAAAACACAUUAAUGGAGUAGAUUUUCAUAAAUUCAUCAAAUAUGUGAUACUAGAAAGGGAAGUAAGCAAGAAACUACUGAUUUCCUCUCCCAAAUAUAUUUAGUUUGUACUAUGUUAUGUAUAUUACCUUGUCUAUUAUCAAGUUUACAUGGUUAUAUGCUGCUAUUUCUGCGUCAAAUUUAAGUCUGAUGUAAAUUUAUCAAGUUUUGCUCUUAAAUUUUGAAGGUUCUUUAGUAGUAUGUUACUAAUUGAGGGAGGAAUCUACAAAUUGAUUUUAAAAUAAUAAGUCUUCCAGUAUAAAUCAAGUAUAUUGCUGCAGUUUGAAGGUAGAUUCUUUCUCUUAUUUUGUCGGUUGAACUUACUAUAUAGUAAUAGAAACGAAAACUUUAUUAUUUUACGUGUUGAAGAAGAAGCAGAUAAGUGUUGCUUAAUGAUGCCUCAAAAAUCAAACUUAUUAUAUAGUAAUAGACAUCAAAACUUUAUUAUUGUACAUGUUGAAGAAGACGCAGAUAAGUUUUGUUUAAUUAUGCCACAAAAAUCGAAUAGGUAAUAGAUUUUAUACCCAAUUGUGGAUAGCAGAAGCAUUCGAAAGAAGAAGUUCAACAAACAAACAAACAAAAAGAAAUAGUGAGAAUUUUCAGGUAUUGUGCAUUUUAUUUCUUCGCAAGUAUUUUAUCGUUCUUUGUUGAAAUUGUUGUAUUGUAAGCUUGUGGUUUUGUACAUUUUACUUUGGAUUUUGCAAUUCAGUAAUGCGUUUGAUUAUACUCUUUGUUUAUUUGGGAAAUCCCUUUUUUGGGUUCUUGGAAUUUGGAAUGAAUUAGAAGCAAUAUUCCAAUGCAGCAGCUAUAGCUUUGUACAACUACCUGGGCAAUGCCAGCCCUGCUCAUGAUAUGGGCGACAUGCUUUCAUUGCUAUGUUUCUUCAGUCUGCACAUCGGAACAUUUGUCCUCUCAAACUCUAAUUUUGACUACCUUCUUUAUAUAAAAAUUAGUUUUUCAUAAGAGGAAUACAUAUAGUGGAAGAUAGAAAGUCGGAGGCAUUACAACAGAAAAUUGAUCAUGCUUACUUAACUUCAAAGGUUGUUGUAGGAAGGUGCUUAUUUUUCUCCAAUACUCCCUUUUCUCUUAAUACACUACAGUUUUGAAGAUGGUUACAACUUACCUACUUAUCCUUUUUUGUUGCAAUUGAAGGAGUUCUCAAAUACGCAGUAUUGCAUUUCUUAGGUCACCUAAUUUUGAGUAUUUGUAUUUUUCUUAGCUGUUUAUGUAAUCAAUGAUCUACUGAUGAGCCCAUCUUUCAAAGCCUUGGUAUGGGCCUUGCCAUCAAAUUGAAAUAACUGCUACUCUUUUGAGGAAAACGUUGUUCCGAUUAGUCUCAUUCAUGUGAAUAGGUUCCUUCUCUCUUGCACUAUUACUUAUAUAUCAAUUUUGCACAGUUUCUGAUUAAUAGACUUGCCUAUGCUAAUGCUAUCAUUCUAUUUACAGCUUACUAUGUGGUUGUUGAUGAGUCAGUUGGAAGACAAUUUGCAAUAGUCUUUUUGGAGCGUGUUAAGAUGAUUUUGGGUCAAACUAUGGGGAUGAAAAUGUUGUAACAACUCAUCCAAAUAACCUGAACAAGGAAUUCAGGUAAUUUAAAAUUAAAAUUUACUUUAGUAUUAUGUAAGGGCAGAAGGCAGAAUUUUCUAUUAAGUCAUUUAAUUGCAGUAUUCUCUUAAGUAUAUUCCUAAGUUUAUGAAGCAUAUGUAGUAUUGUGCUGUGAAGAAGUAAUUGUUGCGUUCUAUGACUUUUUCAGAGUGGGAAUGAUGCCUCUCAGUGACACUGAAAUUGGUGAAUCGCAUAUUGCUAGCACCAUCUAUGAUACUUUGCCACUGUUUUUUUUUUUUUCACUAACACCUUCAAGAUUGAGCUCUCCAACCCUCCCUCUGUGUUCUUGUGGGUGUUCAAUAAAAUUCCAAGCUCAUUUUAAAAGAAUCACAUGUUUUAUGUCUUUAUAGUGUUGAGGAGGUCAGAAUGGCUGGAAAAAGUUGAUUUUUGGGGUUGGAACUCAGAAAACGGUGGAGCUACAGCAACAAGAUUGCAAUAGCUGCAAAGUACAUGAAAUAUAGGGACUCUAAACAAUCGGUUGGGGUUAGACUUAAAGAUCUUCUUGAUCGAAUGAUCCUUGAAGAAAGCAUAGGCCGAAUAAUUUUGAUUGAUAAGACUGAAUCUAUAAUUAAAAUCAUGAAGCACUACUAUUAUGUCGGAACAUUUUUAAAUCUUUAAAAUACAGCCAUUUCCAUAUUUUUAAUUUAUUUAUGGUACAUUUUGUUUGCAUGUAUUUGUUCUUCUAUGGUUGGUUUUCUUAAUUUUUGGAGAUUCGAUAAUGUUAUUCUAUAUGAAAUAGUAAUCCGUGUUUACUUGGAUUACUACUUAAGUUACAUCUUAUAUCUAUAUAGUUUAUAUAAUUUGCAUAUUUGUUUCCAAUUUUUUUUUGUUUCAUUUUAAUUUCCUUAUUAGUUAUUGUGUGUUACUUUUCUCAUAGUUGUUUUUCGUAUAAUAGUCAUUGCUACUAUGACUUUUGUGUUGAUUAAACUUCAAUCGCCAAUAAAUGAGUUUUCUUUAUUCGAUGUGCAACAGUUUUCGAUCAAAUUAUAUAAGAAAGAUAAUUUUUUGAAAAUUUAUGUCUUUCACCAAUUAAUCAUUUUUUCUUGAUUAAAAAAAAGUUGAGAUAUGAUUUGGGAAGCGAUAUCUACAAGAUAGUUUUGUAUUUAUUUUGUUCGAGACAAAACAUAAUACCUAUGGCAUUUGAAUGUAGAUUAAUUUUAGGAGGUUCAAAUUCUGAGAUUUCAAUAAAUUGUAUGGGGUAUAAAUCAGCCACAAUUAAUAAUGCAAUAUGAAAUAAAACAGUUAUUUUGAUAAUGAUUGUACAUGAUAAAAGUGUUGGUGGAUUUCUUUCUUGGAAGUUAUCCGCGCAUCGCGCCGGUACGUAUACUAGUUUCUAUUAAAGUUAUAAGAUAUAAUUUAUGAAACUCUUAAAAGUAUAAUUCUUGUUCCAUAAUCCAUAAGAAGGUAACCUUCCCAUAACAUUCGUAAAGAUCUUUGCACUGUGAUGAAUACAUUAUGAAUUUGCAAGUCUUAAUAUAAUAAUACCAACUUCCCAGGAAUCCUCAUUGACCUAAUAGAUAAUAAUAUGAACAUGAAUAUUUUUACAAGAAUGGUUCCAAUCAUGUACAUGAAUUAUAUCAUAUCGAACCAUGAAAUUACCUAUCACGACUCUCCAAUAUUGAUAGUAUUAACUCAUGAAUAUGAACCUAUUAUGGUUAACUCUCGGUAUGAGCCUAAAGUGGCUAUACAUAAUUAUGAGCUUAAAAAGGCUAAACCACGAGCAUGAGCCUAAAAAGGCUAAACUAUGAACAUGAACAUAACAAGACGAACAUUUUGAUCAAUAACUAAUCAGAUAAAUAAGACAAUGUCAUGAGCAUAAGGGAGUUAGUUAGCAGACCGUGAAGGCAUAGGUUGACGACAAAUACCCGAAACUAUGUUUACCGACAUAGGAUAGAGAUCAUUCCGCUAGUCGGAUACUCUCUUUUCUUUCAUGUGUCCCGAAAAGGGGAUAACCAUGGAUACUUGCUAGCAAAUUAUGUCAUGUCACGUCCUAUGCCUGGCAAGGUAUAGGAUGGCUUAGCUGAUCCGGCCAAGAUCCGACUCCAUGCACUCACAUGGUGGUUUAUGACGGUUCACUACUUUCUCCCACAAAUAAUAAAAGGAAUUUAGAUCUACUUAGCUUAUUCACUUAUAAAUUUAGUUUACAUUCUUGUUCCUUUCCAGAUUCCUUCUCGUAAAUCUAAAUUUUGUAGUUACUUCUGAUCUCUUGUUUUACUACCCUUCUGCAACGGUUUUACAUACCAAUACAUUCCACAUAUUGACCGUCUUUGGUGCUACAUAGUUUCAUGAUGUAGGUUAUGGCUCUCAAGUCCGUGGUCAGGUGCCUUAUUAGGGUUCCUAACUUCUGCUAUUGGUGAGCCUCUUUCCUACCAGGAGGCUGGAUGAGAUAUGAUGAUUUUUUUUGUAUUUUAUUUCUUUUCAGUAUUAGAACUUAUUAGAGGCUUCACAGGCUGGUAUAGUUGUCAAACAAAAUUUUUAAUUUCUAUUCUUUAUCAUGACUGUUAUUAUUGUAUAAAGUUAAGUGGUGUUAAUAAACCUUGAUGAUAAUAUUUUGCCUUUAAGAAAUCUUAUUUCAAUCUCAUAUUGGUUUAGUUAUACUCUUUCAUGUUGGUUGUAUUCUCAUGUUUUGUGAUAGAAAGUUCGCUCAUACUGGCAGUAGUAUCGGGUGCGUGUAACGUCUUGGGCCUCAGCUUGGGGAGUGACAUUCCCCUAUUCGCGGGAUUUAGAAAAGGAUUGGAUAACAAGUAUCAUCAUGGAUUUUGUUAGUGGUUUGCCUCAUACUUCUCAUAGUUCUGAAGGUAUUUGGGUCAUCGUGGAUCGGUUGACCAAGUCAUCACAUUUCAUUCCUAUUCAAAUGCCCUUCAAUGCCGAGAUGUUUGACCCAUAUAAAUGUGCAUCUAUUGUACAUGAAGGCCCGGAAUGCCCUUCUCUAUCUGGUAAUCAUGCACAACAUUCAUAUAAUAAAGAAGAUGCAGAAACAUAAUCUGCUAUGGAAACAUGGUCAAAUCUAAAUUCAACAUAAGUAUGGAAACUAUAAAUCAACUACAUCUAAAUAACAUCUGACUCAGUCUGUGAAAUCUCUACUACAUGAAAUCUAACAACUGUCUGAAACUGGGACAAGGCUUUAGUAGGCCAAAACUGAAAUAAGUGACAUAAUCAAAGAAGACAGGCCUUCUGGAAUAGAGAAGGCUCACCACUGCAAAAUUUGAUCAGCUGUCUGAAUUAUCUACUGCUUAUCUGGACCUCUAGACUGAGUCUCAGAACUGAGAAAUAUGUAUUACUUUUGCCCUAGGUAGUAUACCCUACAACUAUAAAAAAUUCCAGGGUCUAUAUGAAAACUGCCAUUAACUCAGCAGUGAAGCCCCCAACCCAAGUGUGCCGCAAGAGUCAGAGACUCUGAAUCUACUACACCACACAACCGUCGCCAACGUACAAUAAUAAUCUACCUGUAUCGACAAAUAUGAUUUCAGGCCAAGAGUUGCUUGAACUCGCGCCUUCUUCGGGUAACCACCUAACCCUCUUUAAGCCCUUUUUUAAAAAUCUAUCAAAAUAUACAAUCUCUGAAAAUAUGCUCUAGAAACAUAAUCUAUUAUGAUAUAAAUACAUAUGGUAUCUUCAUACCAUUGACUUGCAAGUCACAUCUCUGAGCCAUUAUUAGUCUAUCAUAAAUCUCUGUAUUUAAAACACAAGUUUUGAGACCAGCAAUUCAAUAAUUCAAUUCAAUGAAUCUUUUUUUUUUCAAACCUCAUGUAAACACAUGCAAUUCUUUCUCAUACACACAAGAACAUAUUGGUAUCAACAAACACCCUCUCAACAAUUCCAAAUCAUGUUCAAAUGCCAGGAUAUUACAAAAACAUCUUUCAAAUCCCAAAACCAUAAUCUUUAAUUCAAUACAAGAGAGGGAGUUCAUAAUUUAUGCUCUCAACAAUCUUAAAUCUCAAAUUCAUACAUAUACAUAUAUAUGUAAAUCAAUUUAGGGAAAAAUACCACAAGGCUAAAGCAAUAGUAGCAUUGAAACUUUCGAAAUGCAUAAUUAAUAAUAUAGUUUUCAAAGCCCCCAUAAAAUACCUGCAUCAAAACCUUUAAAUCAUGCUUUAAAAAUUUCAAGCCAUGUAGUUUUUAGGAUAAAACCCUCAUACCCCAACUACGAAGAAUAAGGGAUGAUCCAUUAAGCCUACGGUUUGAGGAUUCCAAAUCUUCAGUCAAUUUUGAAAAGCCAUGGUUGAAUCUUGAGUUUCUUCGAUAAGAAGUAUAUGAACUAGGGUUUUUGUUUUGAGGAAAAUCUUGAGAAUGUCAUAUAUUCUACUUGUAGAGAUCUUAAUCUACUUUUUGGACAUUUUAAGAUGCUUGGAAAAAUUCCAAAUUAUCCUUGUUAACUUCUGAACGAAGCUGGAAAAAAUUAAACUGGAAACCCGAUUUUAGAGGCCACCGCGAUGCGCCACUAUCGCGGUGGCUCACUGGAAAUUGACGAAUGGGAGUUUGGGAUCCUCCAUGACACUCCAAUAUUGCUAGGUCCCACUGGAAUUUGAGAAUUUCUAAUUAAACCCUCUCUGUGACGCGCUAAACACUAGAAUGACAAUGUUUUACGACUAGCACAAAAAAUAGCCAUAACUUCUUCACCGAGUGUCUGAUUUGGACGAAUCUUAUAUCGACAGAAAGCUUAUUCAAUCAUCUACGAAAUAAAAAGUUUAAAUAUAAGAGAUUCCACCGGGAAAAAUCAUAAAUCAUUCUAGAAGACAAGGCUUGAUCUUUUAGGGAUAGAAUUUAGCUAAGAAAACUUCAGGGCGUUACAAUAUCCUCCCUUUGGGAACAUUCGACCCCUAAUGUUGACGCGGGAUACAAACAAGAAUAAUUUCAAGAAUACUAAGGUAUCAAUAGAAUAAAGCAAGGAUUGUACCUUCCAUUUCUUCAUCCAUUGGAUAAAAAAGUUUUGGGUAUCUAACUCUCAUGUCAACUUCUGAUUCCCAAGUCGCUUCUUUAAUUUUCUAGUUUCUCCAUAACACUUUAACUGAGGCUAUCUGUUUGUUCCUCAAUCUUCUAUAUUGGCAAUCCAAAAUCUCUAUAGGCUCUUCUUCAUAGGAUAAGGAGUCUGUCACUUUGAUUUCUUUGACAGGAAAUACUAAAGAAUGGUCUCCAAUACACUUCUUCAACAUAGAUAUAUGAAAUACCGGAUGAACCGAACCCAAACUAACUGGCUCAUAUGUUAUUCCAACUAUACUUCUCACAAUAUAAUAUGGUCCUAUAUAGCGAGGACUCAGCUUACCUUUCUUCUUGAAUUGCAUGACUCCCUUCAUGGGAGAACCAUGAUAAAUACCUAAUCUCCAACCUCAAACUCUAGAUCUCUUCUCCUAACAUCGGCGUAGGACUUCUGACGACUCUGAGCUUUCUUAAGUCAUUCUCUAAUGACUUUCACAUCCUCUAUUGCCUGAUGAACCGGAUGAGGCCCAAAUAUCUGCGUCUUACCUACUUCAUACCACCCUAUUGGUGACCUACAUCUUCUUCUAUACAAUGCCUAAAAUGGUGUUAUCUUAAUCCUGGAAUGGAAACUAUUAUUAUAUGCGAACUCUAUCAAUAGCAUGUGUUCUACCCAACUACCUUUAAAAUCAAUCACGUAGGCCCUCAGAAUAUCCUCAAGGGUCUAGAUGGUGCGAUCAGCUUGCCCAUCUGUCUGACGGUGGAAAGUCAUGCUCAAAUUCACUGGGGUACCUAAACCCUUUUGAAACAAUCUCCAAAACUAUAAAGAAAACUGUUUACCUUUGUCAGAUAUGAUGGACACAGGUGCCCCAUGCAAAUGAACUAUUUCUGCAAUGAACAAUUUGGCAUAAUCCUCUCCCGAAUAAUUUGUCCUAACAGGUAGAAAGUGAGCUGACUUGGUCAACCUAACUACAAUCAACUAAAUGGAAUCAUACUAGUUUUGGGACCUCAGAAGUCUUGUAAUGAAGUCCAUAUUAAUCAUCUCCCACUUCCACAAAGGCAAAGCUAUCUCUUGAGAAGAACCACCUGGCCUCAAAUGUUCCAAUUUAACUUGUUGAAAAUUCAAACACUUGGCAACAUAGUUAGCCACAUCACGCUUCAUAUUAUUCCACCAAUAAAUGGUUUUCAAAUCCUGAUACAUCUUAGUAGAGCCAGGGUGAACAACAUACCUCGACGUGUGAGCUUCAUCAAGGAUCCUCUUCCUCAAACCAUCUACAUCUAGCACACACAACCUACCCUGGUAUCUCAAAACACCAUCACCACCAAUUUCAAAAGGCAAUACCUUUUGUUAACCCACAUUUUUCUUGAUCUGCAUCGAGAUGGGAUCUUCAACCUGGUUCUCUUUAACUUCGACACAAAGGGAAGAUUUAGCUAUCCCAUGAACAACCACUCCUCCAUCCUCAUAAUACAAAAUUUGCACUCCUAGAUUUGCAAGUCGGUAAAUAUCCUUCACCAUCUCCCUCUUUUCUUUCCCCACAUAAGAAAGAAUGCCUAUAGAUAACUUGCUGAGGGAGUCGGCUACCACAUUCGCCAUGCCCGGAUGAUAGUACAGGCUCAUGUUAUAGUCUUUUAAAAGUUCCAACCAUCCCCUCUGCAUGAGAUUCAAUUAUUUUUGCUAGAAAACAUACUAUAAACUCUUGUGGUAAGUAAAUAUAUCAAUAUGUACCACAUACAAAUAGUGCCGCUAGAUCUUAAGUGCAAAAACUGUAGCUGCUAACCCCAAAUCAUGAGUAGGGUAGUUCCUUACCGUGCUGCAUAAGGACACACCCAAGUCCCACACAGGGCGCAUCACAGUAUACAACAAAACCUUCUGUACCCUCCGAAAGAGUCAGAACAGAAGCAGUAGUCAACUUGUCUUUCAACUUCUCAAAGCUAUUCUCACAAGAGUCAGACCACAAAAACUUCACCUUUUUCUGAGUCAACUUAGUAAUUGGUGCAGCUAUGGAAGAAAAAACUCUCGAUGAAUCUUCUAUAAUAACUUGCCAAACCCAAGAAGCUCCUAAUAUCGGUUGGAUUCGUGGAUCUGGGACAUUUUAUCACAACCUCAAUCUUUUAAGGAUCAACCUUAAUCCCCUCACUAGACACAAUAUAGUGCAAGAAUGCAAUAGCUUUCAACCAAAAUUCACACUUGGAAAAUUUUGGAUACAAUUUAUGAUCUUUAAGGGUCUGAAGGAUGAUUCGGAGGUGAUCGGCAUGGUCCUCCUCACUCUUAGAAUAUACAAAAAUGUCAUCAAUGAAUACAAUGACAAACAGAUCCAAAAACUAAUGGAAAACCCUAUUCAUUAGAUCCAUGAAAGCUGCAGGGGCAUUAGUCAACCUGAAGGACAUGACUAAGAAUUCAUAAUGGCCAUAUCUGGUUUGGAAAGCUGUUUUGGGAAUAUCUGACUCUUUAACUUUCAACUGGUGAUAUCCCGAACAAAGGUCUAUCUUUGAAAAAUAUUUAGCACCCUGAAGUUGAUAAAAAAGAUCAUUAAUACUAGGAAGGGGAUAUUUAUUUUUAAUCAUGACCUUAUUCAACUGGAGGUAAUCUAUGCACAUACGAAGGGAACCAUCUUUCUUUCGCACGAAAGGUACAGGUGCACCCUAGGGAGACAAACUAGGGUGGAUAAAACCUUUAUCUAGAAGAUCUGCUAGUUGUUCUUUCAAUUCUUUUAGCUCUGCAGGAGCCAUCCUAUAUGGCAGAAUAGAAAUAGGAUGGGUAUCUGGUAAUAAAUUAAUACCAAAAUCUAUUUCCCUAUCAGGUGGUAUUCCUAGGAGAUCAUCUGGAAAGACUUUUGGGAAUUUAUUCACUAUGGGGACAGACUGAAGAGGGAGACUUUCAGCACUAGAAUCUUUAACCCGAAUAAGAUGAUACAAGAAAACUUUGGAAAUAAGUUUACGGGCCCUGAGAUAAGAUAUGAAAUGCCCUCUAGGUGAUAGAGAAUGUCUCUUCUAUUCUAUCACCGACUCAUUCAGAAAAGAAAAAUGACUCUUUGGGUCCUACAAUUCAAGGUGGCAUAGCACGAAUGGAGCCACUCCAUCCCAAAGAAGGCAUCCAAAUCAACCAUAUCAAGUUCUAUGAGAUCUGCCUCAGUAUCCCAGCCAAAAAUAGACAUAACACAAUUUCUAUACACCCUACUAGACACUACAAAAUCUCCCACCGGGGUGGAAACUGAAAAAGUUCAGCAAUCACCUCAGGCUUAAACCCAAAACCAACAGCCACGUAUGAGGUCACAUAAGACAAGGUAGAGCUGGGAUCAAGUAAUACAUACAUAGCACGGGAAAAGAUUUGCAACAUGCCGGUGACUAAAUCUGGUGAGGAAUCUACCUCCUGGCGGUUGGUCAAAGCAUAAAACCGAUUUUGACCAUUUCCGGCAGCUAAAGUGGAACCCUUCUGAGGUGGUGGCGCAGAUGAAUUCGCUUGCGGCUUGGCUCCUCCAACAUUAAUCUUUGCUGCCGGACAGUCUCUCUGGAUAUGGCCUGGCUGGCAGCAUGAAUAACACACCAAAGCGCCAAACUAACAUCUCCCUGGAUGAUUCCUCCCGCAUCUCCCACAGUGAGGAUAGGACCGAGAGGUCUGGGCUACACUUCCUUGCGACUGCAUACCUUACAUCCUCGACCCCUGACUAGACUGAAAAUUUUGGGUGUGCUGCUCAGCUGUGGGUCUGGACACUGGAGCACUACUACCGACUGUGCAUUACCCCAAUUCUUUUUCUUUAGCCAUUUGCCGCCGCAAUUACUGCUCUGCUAUUGUGUAUGACCCUGGUCUAUACUUUGGCUCUCUUUGCCUGCCUGUCCUUUUCCUUAGAUUCGGAUAUCUUCUUUUUCUUCUGCUCAACUUGCUGUAUGUAGACUGACAGUCUAGCAAAGUCCAUAUCCCUGUUCAGCAUAACUCCCUGACACUUAAGCACCAGAACAUCUGAAAGGCCGGAAAUAAACUUCCUCAUUUGGGCCCUCAUACUACUCGUCAUCUCAGGAGCAUAAUGGGCCAUCUGGUUAAAAUUUAAAGUAUCUUCUUGAACACUCAUCUUACCCUAUUUAAGGUUCAUGAAUUCCUCAGCUUUAGCUUCCCUCAGCUCCAGAGGAAAGAAUCGGUCAAGCAAAGCUUCUACAAACUCGUCCCAAACUGUGGGCUUAGCACUGUCACCCUUUGUAUCAUACCACUCGUUGUACAAUUGGUUCGCUACAUCCUUUAGCCGGUAUGCUGCUAGCUCAACAACCUCUACCUGAUCAACAUGCAUUACUUUGAAAAUCUUCUCCAUUUCGUCUAUGAACUCCUGCGGGUCCUUUUCUACCUUAGCGCCAGAUAACUUGGGCGGGUUCAUUCUUAUGAACUAGCCCACUCUAGUAACUUCAGAAGUAAUAGACGCAGACCAAGUAUCCUCUAACCUCUGAGUCUGUGCAGCUCCUAGCUAUGCAAGCAUGUGAAUAGAUUGUCUGAAUUCAGCAUUAGAAACCUCUUCUUCAUGAGGCUGAGAGCGACUGGACCCCAUCCGAGGAGCUCUAGGAGGACUAGUUGGUAUAGGAGGUACUCCCAGAGUAGGAACAGGUUCUUGGGUAUGAGCUCUAUUACGGGUCCGCAUCCCAUGGGUAGGAUGGACUUCAUCAUCCUGAGCAUUAACGUUCGUACGACGCGGAGGCAUCACUGGGUUUUUGAAAAGCAAGUGGUUAUUGAUUAGGGGAGAGAUUAGACUUUGAUGCACGAACUAAAUAAUGAACAAGAGGAAUAUUCUUAAAUACCUAGUAGCCUUCUGCUUGUAAGUGUGGCGCACUACACACCCAUAAACAAAACUCUACCCGACGCGAUUUCGCAGAUACCUUGGGACCAUAAACUGUGCUUUGAUACCAAGUUUGUCUCAACCCAAACUAAGGCCUGGCCGUGAAAGACAUACCGAGCCUCUAUCUGGUAAUCAUGUACAACAUUCAUAUAAUAAAGAAGAUGUCGAAACUUAAUCUGCUACGGAAAUAUGGUCAACUCAGUCUGCGAAAUCUCUACUACAUGAAAUCUGACAACUGUCUGAAACUGGGACAAGGCACCAGUAGACCAAAACUAAAAUAAGUGGCAUAAUCUGAGAAGACAGGCCUUCUGGAAUAGAUAAGGCUAACCACUGCACAUUCUGAUCAGCUGUCUAAAUUACUUAUCUGGACCUCUAGACUGAGUCUCAGAACUUGAGAGGUAGGGGGGAGGUAGUCAAUACAGAUGUACUGGUACGCAAAGCAUAUCCAAAAUAAUCAUUUAUAAAUCAACAUAUAUGAGAGCAAUUUAAAACAGUUCAUAAGUAUAUCAUGUAGUAAGAAUUCACAUGGGCAUUUUAAAGACUCUGUAAAAAUAAUCUCCGUUCUGAGAAAUCUAUGUUACUUCUGCACUAGGUGGUAUACCCUACAAAUCUAAAAAAUUCCAUGGGCUAUAUGGAAACUAUCAAUAACUCGGCCGCGAAGUCCCCAACCCAAGUGUGCCACAAGUAUCGGAGUCUCCGAAUCUACUACGCCACAUGGCCGUCGCCAGCAUACAAUAAUAAUCUACCCGUAUCGGCAAAUAUGGUUUCAGGCUAAGAGUUUAUUGAACUUGCGCCUUCUCCGGGUAACCACCUAACCCUCUUUAAGACCCUUUUUAAAACACUAUCAAAACAUACAGUCUCUGAAAACCUAAUAUUUUAUGGCAUAAAUACAUAUUCUGUUAUGGAAUAAAUAUAUAUGGUAUCGUCAUACAAUUGACUUGCAAGUCACAUAUCUGAGCCACUAUUAGUCUAUCAUAAAUCUCUGUAUUCAAAACACACAUUUUGAGACCAGCAUUUCAAUAAUUCAAUUCAAUGAAUCUUUCUUUUUUCAAACCUCAUGUUAACACAUGCAAUUCUUUCUCAUACACACAAGAACAUAUUGAUAUCAAGAAACACCCUCUCAACAAUUCCAAAUCAUGUUCAAAUGCCAAGAUAUUGCAAAAGCAUCUUUCAAAUCACAAAACCAUAAUCUUUAAUCCAAUACAAGAGAGGGAGUUUAUAAUAUAUGCUCUCAACAAUCUUAAAUCUCAAAUUAAUACAUAUACAUAUAUAUGUAAAUCAAUUUAAGGGAAAAGAACACAAGGCCAAAGCAAUAGUAGCAUUGAAACUUUUGAAAUGCAUGAUCAAUAAUAUAGUUUUCAAAACCCCCAUAAAAUACAUGCAUCAAAUCCUUUAAAUCAUGCUUUAACAAUUUUAAGCCCAUGUAGUUUUUAGGAUAAACCCAACGUACCUCGACUAUGAAGAAUAAGGGAUGAUCCUUUAAGCCCACGGUUUGAGGAUUCCAAAUCUUCAGUCAAUUUUGAAAAUUCACGGCUGAAUCUUUAGUUUCUUGGAGGAGAAGUAUAUGAACUAGGGUUUUUGUUUUGAGGAAAAUCUUGAGAAUGUCAUAUAUUCUGCUUGUAGAGGUCAUAAUCUACUGUUUGGACGUUUUAAGAGGAUUGAAAAAAGUCCAAAUUACCCUUGUUAACUUCUGAAUGAAGCUGGAAAAAAUUAAACUGGGAACCCGAUUUUAUGAGGCACCGCGAUGCGCCACUAUCGCGGUGGCUCACUGGAAAUUGACGAAUGGGAAUUUGGGAUCCUCCACAAUGCGCCACUAUCGUGAUUUCCAACUGGAAUUUGACAAUUGCUAAUUAAACCCUCUACGCGACGCGCUAAACACCCGAAUGACAAUGUUUUAUGACUAGCACAUAAAAUAGCCAUAACUUGUUCACUAGUUGUCCAAUUUGGACUAAUCUUAUAUCGACAGAAAGCUUAUUCAGUAAUCUGCGAAAUGAAAAGUUGAAAUCUAAGAGAUUCCACUGGGAAAAAAGUAUAAAUCAUUCAAGAAGUGAAGUCUUGAUAUUUUAGGGACAAAAUUUAGCUAUGAAAAACUUUGGGGCCUUACUAUAGCCUUACCUAGCUUUUUUCUCAGUGAUUCUUUAGCCAUGAUUCAUUUUGGCUAAGCUACGCAAAAAGUUUAGUUUAACUAUGACCCUUGCCAGCUCUGCGCCAAUUUUGAGAAGCUCUUUAGUAAACAAUUCCUUCUUUUUUACACGACUCGAGCAACAUAUAUAGGUUAGAAAAGAAGUGGAUCGGGUUUGAUCCAAGCCGAUCCACUUGCUGGGUUACUUCACCACCUUGGGAGAAGAUGAUUAUAAAUAUUUAAAUUGCUACAAAAAUUCCUUUUCCUUUUAUAUUUCAAGUUUAAUCAAUGGCAAGAAGAAGUUGCAGAUCAAAAGCGCAAUCUACCGAUUCACGUGAACUCAAUAGCUUUUGCUCAAACCCACUAAUACUUGGUUAAACCUAAAAAGUGCUUGCAGAAACAGCCUCUCUAUCUCUAUAGAGUAAGGUCUGCAUACGCUCUAACUUCCUUUCCUAGACCCCUUACGUGUGAGAUUUUGCUGUAGAUGUUGUUGUUGUUGUUUUCAAUUGUUGAGUGUCUAGUGACUAAACUUCAUUGAUUUACAGGAGAUUAUUAUUGUGUUUGCAGAUAUUGACUGACUACAACUGGUUUCCUUGAUGCUUGUUUUCCUUUAUCUUGAAUCUUUGGUGACUCGUUCUGGACACGGUCAAUAUCCUCUGCUGCUUGUUGUCGGCUAUCAGUAAGCCUCUCAUGUGCUCUUACCCUCUGGAUAUCCUCAUUUGCCAUUACAACUUCUGUUACGCUUAGUUGAAUUGUACGUGCAACAACAUUUACAACUUCUUUUAUCUGCACUUCCAAAUCUGUCAUUUCUCUAGAAACAUUGCUUUUCUCAAAGUUCUUGAGAAAUACUUCCAGGGAACAAACUUUUUCACGAAGAGCAAGAAAUUCUUCUCUGUGUUCACUAAUUAGAGAUUGCACUGGCAAAUUGGAUGUCACGACCAAUUCCAUUGUUCUCUUAAACCAUAUCUUUACUCUACAGUUUUAACAAAGAUUCCAUGUAUCUACAGUUUGUGAAACUAGUGCAACACAUUUUUUAACAACGCUCAAGAAGUUAAAGCUGGUUGGAACUCGUCUAGCAUGGGAGGACUUGAAUAUCAUAGGCCAAUAGCCUAACCUCGAGGUGCUGAAGCUGAAACCAAAUGCUUGUCGUGGCCUAGAAUGGCGUCCAAUUGAAGGAGGAUUUCGUAGGUUGAAGUUUUUGCUAAUUGAAAGUACAAAUCUGAAAUGUUGGCAAGAUUUCCUUUGCAUCGUGUUAUUGAGAUACAGUAGCCCAAGCAUGGACAUCAAAGCAAUGUAGAACGGAUACGUCAUCGUAAACUUCUUUCGCUAAAGUUGAAUUGCCAAUGCCUCCCAUACCGAUGAUUGGGAUGACCCUGAGUUCACCAGAGAAGCCUCUAGUCAAUUCUUGUAGCAACCUUUCCUUUUCAUUAUCACGCCCCACCAUAACAUUCCUAAUAUCUUUUGUUGAACUUGAAUCUUGAAUUUCAUUGUUGAAUUGUAUGUUCAACAACAUUUGCAACAUCUUUUAUCUGUGCUCCGAAAUCUAUCAUUGCCCCAGAAACAUUGCUUUUCUCAAAGUUCUUGAGAAAUACUUCCAGGAAGCUAACUUUUACACCAAGAGCGAGAAAUUCUUCUCUGUGUUCACUAAUUAGCGAUUGCACUGGCAAAUUGGAUGUAACAACCAAUUCCAUUGUUCUCUUAAGCCAUAUCUUGACUCUCAUGUUCCUUGUGCAGUUUUUACCAGAAAACUGCAAGUUUCAAGACCUCAGUGGUGUUACUACAUAUAAUACCAGUUUCAAACUGUAUUAACUCAAAAAAUAACUCUAACAACACAAAGUAAUAAACAAUUCAAUAACUGAAACCAUAAUGAAGAACAUGGCCGGAGUCAUAAGAACAUUUAUUAAGAGUUCAAGUUGGGAUGUGGCUAGAAAUAAUGGAAUCAGAACAAUAACAUGAAGACUCCUAGACACCACAAAACUAAGUGAUUGUCUCAUCGUAUAAAAUAAUCAUCAAACUCGAUCACAAUCAACCACGUGGUCUGCUAGUACUUGAAGGUGAAUUUGUAAAGUUACAUAAAAAGAGAAGGGAAGAAGGGAAUUAGUACAACAAAUCCUGUAAGUCUCAUAGACCAUGUGGCAAGGCUUUAUGCAUUACAGAAAAUUAAUGGAAACCAGUAUAAUACAAUACAGGGAUCAUUAGUCACAUAAGAAAGAUAUGUUACAAUACAAAAGUUAUGACAUCUCCUUGGAAACCACACAUUGCUUGUAACCGAUAAUUUUGUGGUAAUUUGCGACAGAGGAACCGAAAUGAAAUACCAAGAGUUCAAUCCUUCUGACCUUGAACUCCUUUACUAAUAUUCUUCUAAAUCAGAAUCACUCUCCCCGACUGAGAAGAAACAAAAAGGGUCAGUAGAAGUUUGACUAGUCACAUUGUUCAGAUGCAGAUUUAGAGCGUGUUCAACCAAACUCACAUCUUUCAACUCAACUUCAUCUGAGAGCUAAAAUACUUAUAUUACAUCUCAACUAACAAUUAUUUACUAAUUCAAGAAAUGAGCUGCAAAUAUUGAUGCAUAGUUUUAUAGAUUCUAUAAUCGAAACAUUCUUUAUCUCAAUUACCUUGAUAAUAUAUCAAAAAAUGAUUAUUCAAAAGUUUAAUUUUUAUAUUUUUUCUAUGAUAUAAUAUGUGUUCUUUAAAAAUAAUUAAUUUUUAUAUGGGGUAUAUGCACAACACAUUUCAUAGACUCUAUAAAACCGAAGAACGUAAUACAUUUACAUUUAUGAAAAACAUUGUGUGAUGAACUAACAUCAACAGUCUAUAACUCAUCAGUUCUGCAGCAUCAGCAUCUGAAUCUUCAUUAUCAUCAUGUUCUGCAGCAUUAGCAUCUGAUAUUUAUUCUUCUUCAUCAUCAUCAUCAUCGUCGUCAUCAUCUUCAUCAUCAGUAACUAAAUAAAGUCACGGAGGCAAAUUAUCCAAGGACCUUGUAACAACUGUAUGACAUGACUUGUGGAAAUGAGAAACAGAGUGUAACCUUAAUAAAUACUAUAUACUUACAUGGAUCGGAGAUACAAACAUCCACAGGGUUGUUUCUGAGGUCUUCUGGUUCUUUCUGAAUUCGUGCAGCAGAUUUUCCAAGUUCGGGAAGACACCAUUUUAACUGAAUCAGUUGUAGCGUGUUAAUAUCUGCAAACUCAAUCGGUAUCUCUUUCAAAUGAUGGCAACUUCUAAUCAUGAGGCGCUCAAGGACAGGAAAAUUGUCAUUUGUGGCUUUCCAGUACAUUAGAUCAUUAAAUUCAAUUAGCGAAAGUUUCAAUUUAUUAAAUCCCCUAACACUUGGAUACCAUUCUGGAUCAACACAAGCAUUACACAUCAGUUUCAGCCCCUCAAGGUUAGGCAACUCGGCUAUGAUGUCCAAGUACGACCAGCUUAGAAAAGUUCUUUCCAACUUAAACUUCUUGAGCGUUGUUUCCGAUGGGAGAUACGAACAUCCACAGGGUUGUUUCCGAGGUCUUCUUGUUCUUUUUGAAUUCGUGUAGAAGAUUCCUCAAGUUCGGGAAGACAGUCUCUUAACUCAAUCAGUUGUAGUGUAUUAAUAUCUGCAAACUCAAUGGGUAUCUCUUUCAAAUAAUAGCAACUUCUAAUCCUGAGGCGCUCAAGGAUAGGAAAGUUGUCAUCUGUGGCUUUCCAGUUCUUGAGACGAUUAUCUUCAAUUAAAAAAAGAUUCAAUCGAGUAAAUCCCUUAACAUUUGGAUGCCAUUCUUCGCCAAGACAAGCAUCAUCGAUCAGCUUCAGCAACUCAAGGUUAGGCAAUUCAGCUAUGAUGUCCAAAUACGACCAACUUAGAUAAGUACUGUUUAACUUCAUCUUCUUGGUCGUUGCUGGAAAAGCUUUUGCACUUGAUGGCAAAAGGUUACAACAAAUUAUAACACUCAAUGUUUCAAGUUGCUGUAGAUGGACAAGAUUGUUGAGAAGCCCAUUAAAGUCAGUCACAUUUCCAUAUCUACAGAUUCCUAAUUCUUUGACAUUUUGAAUCCCCAUAAUAACCUCCGUCGUGAAACAACGUGGAGACAAGUAAGAAAUAGUUUGUAACUUUGAAAAAUCCAAGUGCCUUCCUUUGUCAACAGAUCCACUUGGGCAAUCUGGCAAAUAAAAUGUGGGCUGUUUGAGAUACCUUAAUUGCAUUAGUCCCCAAAUUUGCAUUGGACAAGUUACAAAUGAUCGAUUAGGCCCUUUAACAUUGAAUGUCUGCAGAUUCCAUAACUUGGAAAUUUCUGGAGGUAUGUCAAACAUUUCCCUGCGGAAGAGCAAUGCUAGGUACCUCAACCAGAUGAGGCUUAGUAUCUAGGAAAAUUAUCAAUCUCUAUGUGUCUUAGCUCCAAGACUUAGAGUAAUUUGAAAUAAAUAAGCUCUGAGUUGAGAAUAAAAGAUGAAAAAUAACCACCGAAAGAGAAAAUAGAACGGGUUCGUUUCAAAAGAUUGCUGUUGUCAUGAUAUCUCAACUGACGAUGUACAGGGGUAAGAAGAGCCCUAUAAAGACCACAGGGUGAAGAAUCAAUUUCAUCACCAGUCACGCGCUUAAAGGGCUGCAUUUGCAUGAGAGAUUGGCAUUCUGAAGGAACAUGAUUUGCAUCUGAGUUACCAAACACAAUGUCGUUCAUGAUAAAAAUGUUCUCCCUUUGAAUUUCACUCAUGCACAGGUCAUAUAUUAGAUCAUGAACCUUACAUGAUCUAAUUUUUGUUCCAUCUAGACUUUUCUUGCAGAUGAGGACUAAACAUCUAUCGACAAGCUCUUGCAAACACUUCUCAGCCUCUCCUUCCAAAUCAUUUUCCAACUUCAGGAACCCCUCAGCCAUCCAUGAUCUCAUCA
rnacentral:lncRNA from 1 species